GCCGGGCAUGGUGGCGCAUGCCUGUAAUCCCAGCGGCUUGGGAGGCUGAGGCAGGAGGAUCAUAAGUUCAAAGCCAACCUCAACAAAGGCAAAGCACUAAGCAACUCAGUGAGACCCUGUCUCUA
rnacentral:sRNA from 1 species